rnacentral:rRNA from 1 species
ACUCAAAGGAAUAGACGGGGGCCCGCACAAGCGGUGGAGCAUGUGGUUCAAUUCGACGCAACGCGAAGAACCUUACCUGGGUUUGAACUGCAGGUGACCGCUCUGGAAACAGAGUUUUUCUUCGGAACGCCUGCAGAGGUGCUGCAUGGCUGUCGUCAGCUCGUGUCGUGAGAUGUUGGGUUAAGUCCCGCAACGAGCGCAACCCUUGCCCUUAGUUGCCAGCGGAUAAUGCCGGGCACUCUAAGGGGACUGCCCCGGAAAACGGGGAGGAAGGUGGGGAUGACGUCAAGUCAUCAUGGCCUUUAUGCCCAGGGCUACACACGUGCUACAAUGGGCGGCACAAAGGGCUGCGAACCCGCGAGGGGGAGCCAAUCCCAUAAAACCGUCCUCAGUUCGGAUUGCAGUCUGCAACUCGACUGCAUGAAGGUGGAAUCGCUAGUAAUCGCGGAUCAGCACGCCGCGGUGAAUACGUUCCCGGGCCUUGUACACACCGCCCGU